CCCUUAGAUGUUCUGGGCCGCACGCGCGCUACACUGAUGUGUCCAGUAAGCACCUAACCUCCUCCGAAAGGAACGGGUAACCUUUGCAAAGCACAUCGUGAUGGGGAUAGAUUAUUGCAAUUAUUAGUCUUGAACGAGGAAUUCCUAGUAAGCACAAGUCAUCAGCUUGUGUUGAUUACGUCCCUGCCCUUUGUACACACCGCCCGUCGCUCCUACCGAUUGAAUGUUCCGGUGAGCUCUUCGGACUGCGCGGUCUGCAGUUUCUGCGUUCCGUGCGGAAAGUUGCGCAAACCUUAACAUUUAGAGGGAGGAGAAGUCGUAACA
rnacentral:rRNA from 1 species